rnacentral:piRNA from 1 species
UAUAACUGGUUAUAGCCAGCUGCGUUGUUGC